CCCCGGGGGCCGCCAGCAGUCACCAGUCAGCUGUCAGUGUCAGUGCUAGGUGUCAGCUGGGCGCCUCCCCUGCAGUGUUGUGCUGGUUGUUUGGAGUCACCCUCGCCUGUUGACCCCGGCCCGGAGCAUGGACCUGGACGAAGACUUCUGCCUGGAGGAGGACAAGCUUAUCAGUUAAAGCCCCAGAACAGGCAGGCAGGCGGGCACAAACACACACACGCACACACCUUCCCAGUGCCCAGAGGAGAGUCAAUGUUGGGUCACUCCUACUCUGACCUCUACCAGUACUCCCUUCUCCCCAUCAUUGACCCUGACGAGGAGGACGAAGAGAGGAGAAGGAGAGAGAUGGACUACUACGGCUGGGAGGACAUUUACGAGGACCGCAUAGCAAAGGAAAAGAGGAAGAAAAGGAAGAAGAAGCAAGAAGGAAGGAAGAAACAGGAAAGGAAAGAUAAGGAGGAGGAGAUAAAGGAAGAGGAGGAGAAGGAGAAAGAGGAAGAGGUGGAGGAGGAGUUGGAGGAAGAUGAAGAGGAGGAGGAGGAUGAGGGAGAUGAGAGAGAGAGAUUUUUCCCUUCAUACCGAAGAGAGAAUACAAUGGGCAUGACGGUUACCUCGGGCACAGUCACCCUUGAGAAGAAUGACAGUAACCUUAUUGGCAUCAGCAUUGGCGGCGGCGCUAAGCUCUGCCCUUGUCUCUAUGUGGUGCAGGUCUUCGACAACACCGCGGCUGCACGAGAGGGCACCCUGCAGAGCGGUGAUGAGAUAACAGGCGUGAAUGGGGUCAACGUGAAGGGCAGGUCAAAGCAGGAGGUGGCACAGAUGAUCCAGAGGUCACAGGGCACUGUCACCAUCCACUACAACAAGCUUCAUGCUGACCCCAAGCAAGGGAAGACACUUGACAUCGCCAUGAAGAAGAUGAAACACAGGCUCGUGGAAAAUCUCUCGUCCUCCACUGCCGACGCUCUGGGCCUGUCUCGGGCCAUCCUGUGCAAUGACUCGCUGGUGAAGAAGCUCGGGGACCUCCAACGCACGGAGGAGGUGUACCAAGGCCUGGUGGACCACACCAAGAGGCUGCUGAAGGCAUUCCUGGACCUGGCCAUUGUGUACAGACGGUUUGGAGACAUCUUCUGUGAGAUAGGCGUGAGGGAGCUGCAGCAGAGCGCCAACGAAGCCUUCAGCCAGUUUGGGGAAGCUCACCGCCAGAUGGAGAAGUGUGGCAUUGUGCUCCUGACCAGACUCAAGCCGAUCCUGAGUGACCUGGGCACGUACCUCCACAAGGCCAUCCCCGACACCCGCCUCACAAUCCGCCGGUACGCCGACGCCAAGUUUGAGUACCUGAGUUACUGCCUCAAAGUGAAGGAGAUGGACGAUGAGGAGAUGCAGUUCGCACACCUCCAGGAGCCUCUGUACCGCAUUGAGACCGGGAACUAUGAAUACAGAUUGGUGUUGAGGUGUCGGCAGGAAGCAAGAGCCAAGUUCGCACGCCUCCGCUCAGAUGUCCUGGUCAAGCUGGAGCUGCUGGACUCCAAGCACGUGGAGCACCUCACCCAACAACUCAGGCGGCUGGCAGCGGCUCUGGCGGCCAACCAUAGCCAGUGCCACGCCUUGCUGGAGGGCCGCCACUGGUUCCCCAUCGAACUGGACAUGAGUGGCACAACCCUGCACCACCAGCACCAGCACAACAUGCUACAGACUGGAUAUGAAGAUGAAGAGGAGGAGGAGGAAGAAGAGGUAGGGGAAGACUUACUGGAAGUCAACCAAAACAAGGUCAGUGAGUCCGAUGACCUCAUCCAGCCUCUUCGUGACCUGAACAUCAACUCUGGCAGACCUGAGGGAGAGGCCAAGGAAGGGUCAUUUGAAGAGGUCAACCUCCUCGGUGAUUACUGAACCUCUCAGGAGUAAAAGGGGACAAAAUCUUCACAUUUUGAACUGUUGUUGAUUGAGGUUGUCUUUGUUGAUCGUAUGUUGUGAUUGUUUUGUUGUUAUUAUUAUUAUUAUUAUUAUUAUUAUUAUUAUUAUUAUUAUUAUUAUCAGUAUUAUUAUUAUCACUACUACUAGUACACUAAAUCCCCUAUAAAUCAGACCUGUACACUUCAGAUAUUGGAUAAAUCUGCCUCAGGUAUCUGGACAUAUAUCCAUAAAUCAGACCAAAAUCUGUUAUAUACGGCGCAUGUCUGGACAGUGCUGUGAUGGAUGUUUUAAAUCAGUUGAAGAUCUGGUUUGGAACUUGGCUUGAGUCUGGACCAUGCAUUUCAAAGCAAAGGCUGCCUCUCAUUUACCCUCAUUCAUGUAGGGCAAGAGGAACAUGGCUGCUCAUUGGUUGGUUUUAUUUUUUGGUCAUAUAGACACAAGGAAUAGUUGAGCCUUAUAAAUUUAUAUUCAUACACCCCUGCUCUACUUCAGCUCCCUUGUGGCAUCUUAAUCUUUUAUGCAAGAAGUAAUCAGAAUCGCUGGGCAACUCUGGAACAGCCUCGCUUGGCUAUGUACAAAUUUUAUUUUAUAUGAAUAUUUCUGAUUCUUGGCUAAUUUGGAUAAGGUCUCACCCAAGUAGUCUGAUUUAAAGAGGGUUUUCUGUACUAUUGCUUCUACUACUACUACUACUACUACUUUUAAUCCUACUACUACUCCUAUACUACUACUACUUCUCCUACUACUAGCACUAUUACCACUUGAAUUACUGCCAUUACUGUUACCACUGGCACCAUUCAACUAAAUACUAAGUCAUGGGUUGGUCACUAGCAGAGGAGGAGACAGAGUGCAGUGACCCAGGGCAGUGUGUUCAUGAAUGGCUGGGGAAAUGUAGCAGACAGUGGACUGAACCUCAGAAAAGAAAACGGAUCUAUCCAAGAGUUGAUGUCUUAUGAUCUUAUUCUUACUCUAAGUCUGCUGAGGAGAUAAGGGGUUGUUAUUUUUGUCUUCAUUUGUUUCAGAGACUAAACUCUGCUCACAUUAGCCUUGAACAUAAGCCCCUCCCCUGCUCCAUGAACUGUGUCAUUGGCUAAUCCAUAAGCAAGCCUUGCCUCAUCCCCAGCUUAGGAUGCCUGUGAUUGGUUGAUGCUGAGAAAAUACAAAUCUCACUGGUGAAUGCUGGGAAAGGUUAAAUCUUAUUGGUGGAUGCUGGGAAGGGUUAAAUCUUGUUGGUGGAUGCUGGGAAAGGUUAAAUCAUAUUGGUGGAUGCUGGGAGAGGUUAAAUCUUAUUGUUGGAUGCUGAGAAAGGUUAAAUCUUGUUGGUGGAUGCUGGGAAAGGUUAAAACUUAUUGGUGAAUGAUGGGAAAGGUUAAAUCUCGGUGGUGGAUGCUGGGAAAGGUUAAAUCUUAUUGGUGGAUGCUGGGAAAGGUUAAAUAUUAUUGGUGGAUGCUGAGAAAAGUUAAAUCUUAUUGUUGGAUGCUGGGAAAGGUUAAAUCUUGUUGGUGAAUGCUGGGAAAGGUUAAAUCUUAUUGGUGGGUGCUGGGAAAGGUUAAAUCUUAUUGGUGAAUGCUGGGAAAGGUUAAAUCUUGUUGGUGGAUGCUGGGAAAGUUAAAUCUUAUUGGUGGAUGCUGGGAAAGGUUAAAUCUUGUUGGUGGAUGCUGGGAAAGGUUAAAUCUUGGUGGUGGAUGCUGGGAAAGAUUAAAUCUUGUUGGUGGAUGCUGGGAAAGGUUAAAUCUUGUUGGUGGAUGCUGGGAAAGGUUAAAUCUUGUUGGUGGAUGCUGGGAAAGGUUAAAUCUUAUUGGUGGAUGCCAGGAAAGGUUAAAUCUUGUUGGUGGAUGCUGGGAAAGUUAAAUCUUAUUGGUGGAUGCUGGGAAAGGUUAAAUUUUAUUGGUGAAUGCUGGGAAGUUAAAUCUAUUUGGUGGGUGCUGGGAAAAGAUUAAAUCUUAUUGGUGGAUGCUGGGAAAGGUUAAAUUUUAUUGGUGGAUGCUGGGAAAGGUUAAAUAUUAUUGGUGGAUGCUGGGAAAGGCUAAAUCUUAUUGGUGGAUGCAGGGAAGGCUAAAUUGAUUGAUUGAUGUCUAGCACUGAAGGGGCUUACUUUUAAUGUUACAGUGAACUGAGUACACCCACACUAGUCAUUAUAUUCCUACAAGACUUGGCUAGUCCACUAAAGUAUUAUAUUUGUUUUUACAAGAAUAAAAUUUCUUGAAUA